CCCGCCUUUCCUGUGAGUGGCACGGUCCGGGAGUGCGCCGUGCAAAGCCUUCCGGCAGGGAGAGGCGUCGGUGCAGGCGCGGGCCGGAGGCGGCGGGAGCGGCGGGAUGGCCCUGCCGGGCGGAAAUAAGGAUAACAUCAGAGCAGGAUGCAAAAAGUGUGGUUACCCUGGUCAUUUGACAUUUGAAUGUCGAAACUUCCUCCGAGUAGAUCCCCAAAGAGAUAUUGUUUUAGAUGUUAGCAGCACUAGCAGUGAAGACAGUGAGGAAGAAGAACUACAGAGAUUGCAAGCCAUGCGUGAAAAAAAGAAUUUAAAUGAGGAGGAAGAAAAAAAGAAACAAAAAAGAAAAAACAAAGAGAAGACAAAAAGACAAAGGAAAAGAUCUUCCACAUCAAGUUCAGUUGAAGAGGAGGGGCCAAAGUCAAAAAGACAAAAAUCACAUAAAAAAGAAAGGGAAAAGGGGAAAAAGCAUAAAUCUAAGAAGGAAAAGCAUCAUAAAAAGGAGAAAAAGAAGAGACGAAAGGAGAAAACUUCAUCUUCUGACAGUUCGGACAGUUCAAGUAGUGACUGAGAUGCUGGUCUAUUUUUGUGUUCACUUCUGCAGAGAAGGGGGAGUGAAAGGUGAACAGACCAGUCCAACCUGGAAAAAACUAAAAGACUAUGCUUUAUCUGACUGACAAGAAAAAUAUCCUUCCAGAGAAAUGCUGGAAGCUCAGUUACAUGAAUGUCUAAUCUGGGAGUGGUGUGGCUUUUCUGGAAGAAAAAGUCCCGCCUUCUGUUCCUGAUAAAUUUAUGCACUUUGCCUACACUGUAGUAUCAUUCUCUGUAAGUAAAGAAAUUAAACAAAGGUAUAUGGGCUUAUUAUACUCCUUUGAAAACUUUAUGUUUUAUCAGAACACAGAAUAAAUAGGUUACAAAGUCAUCUAGUCUAACACCUUACUGAAAGCAGAGUCAACUUGCAUUAGACUGUUCACGUUUAUUUGAGUUAACAGUAUCUCCAUGAAGGGAUAUUUCACAGCCCAUUUUGGUGCCUGUCUAGCAUACAGCUACCUUCACUGUGAAAAAAUAGUUAACACAGAAAUGGAAUUUCCCUUAUUGCAUGAUGUCUUUACAAUACUUUUAAGUGUUGUAAAUACCAGGUACUUAAUACAAAAGAGCAAUGUUCUGUUGGCUAUUCAAAUUAUUUGAAUCCCUGUCAUCAUAUAAUUUUUGCCUGUUAUGAGUUUUUUUUCAAAGGGUGUCCCAAAAGCUUGGAGCCAAGUUACUGUGUUUAUCUUUACAUGGAUACAGGACAAAAGUCACUCGGUUUAGCAAUGGCAGAAUAGCUACCAAGACUUUCUCUACGGCAGGUUGAGGAACUAGUGUGUAUCAAAAGUACUGCCAGAUGGGAACUAAACUGCAACUCAUCCAACUUUAGACUUCUAACAGUUUGUUGUUUAGUUUAAGUUAUUAAUGUAGAUUCUGUCCAGAAGCAAAAGAAC